GUAAAAGCACUUGGAAAAGAGAGUUAAAAGCACGUGAAACCGUUGAAAGGGAAACGCGCUCGGCUAGCAAUGUGCCGUCACGGUUCAGCCGGUUUGCUCGAGGAGUCGGCGGUCGUCGGAUCCGAACGGACCGCGGCGUCGGCAUCCGCGAGCGAGCUGCGGUGCACUCCGUGGACGCGCGCGUCAGCGUCGGUUCGGAGCGGGCGACGAGGCGCGGAUGGAAGGUAGCUCGCGGCCUCGCCGCGAGUGUUAGAGCCUCUGGUGCUGGGUCCGCUGCUCGGACCGAGGAGAGAGAGGAUCGCUGCAGCGCCUGCCUCAAGGCUAGCUGCCUGCUGUCCGGCUUGCUUCACUGGUCGAGGACUGCACGCAGUGUUCGGCUUGGCGAGGUGGUCUGGCGGUGGAGUGGCAUAGAUGCGCUUAGGACGCUGGCGUCCAAAUGGCU
rnacentral:rRNA from 1 species